ensembl:lncRNA
AUAAAUAAGGCAGCAUCCAAAGAGCAACAAAUGCAAGUUCACAGUAAAAGCCAGGUGAUAGGGGUUCACAGGAAGCUGGCAGCAGACUCAAAACAAAGUCCAGAAACUAUGAAGAAAAGUUUAGAUUUCAACUCUAAAUCUGCUAAAGUUGAGAAAGUGAAGUCUAAGCCUGUGAGGGUUAAAAGCAAACCCACAGGAAUCAGUUCACCAGGUAAACUCAGUCAUACAGACUCAGCAAGCUUUCACCUGAGUGACACUUUGGAUGAAGAGAGCAUAGUGGGCUCUCAGCAGGUUUCUGAGGUGAAAAAAAUCCCCAAAUCUAAAGAGAAGAAAACAGAUUUGUCUAAGAAAAACAAGAAUGAAAAAAACAUGAAAGAAGCUCAAAUCAAAAAAGGGUCAGAGGUUCAGGAAAAGUCAACAGAUCUCAGCCUGCUUGUUGGAGCUGCUUCGCUCGCUGCAGGAGCAGCUUUGAUCCAAGCUGGAAGACGAUUAAGCUCCACAUCCCUUUCUGAGAACAGUUGUGCUGUACUUAAAGAGGGUGUGACUAAAUCACUGAGUGAGGAAUCUGAAUCUUACGCUGCCAAUUUUAGCCACAGAUCUGCUGUCAGCAUCAACAUCAUACCCGCACCUGAAAGUCCUGAAAUGAGGACAAUCUCAGAUCAAAGUGAACAGCAGAUGGACUCUGCCGCAAUCAAAGAGGAAGAGGAGGAUAAUGACGAAGAGGGUGAAGAGGAAGAAGGGCAGACAGAUGCAAAAGUAAGCGAGGAAGAGGAGGAUGUUAGUCACAUUAUUAAGAAAGUGGCAGAGAACACUGAGGAUGAAAAAGAGAGUGACACUCUUCACUCUGGAGAGAAGUCAGACAGCGAUGUAGAUGAGGAGGAGGAUGAGAGCAAUGUUGUGGUAGAAGAUGAAGAAGAGGAGGAGGAAAAGAGUGGAGUAACAGAAAGUGAAAGCAAAACAGAGACUGAAGAGAAAGACAGAAACGGAGGUGAUGUAGAAGAAGAGGAGUCGGAGGAAGAGGAAAGUGAGGAAGGGUCAAGUCACGAAGCAGAGAGCAAACGUGGAGAUACUGAAAGUGACUUGGAAGAAGGGGACGAGGAAGAAGAAGGGAGUUUGGAGAGUGAGGGUGAAGAAGAUGAGGUUGAAAGUGAGUCUGUGAGGUCUUCAGAGAGAGAAGAAAGUGAGGAAGAGAGGGAGACCGAAGAAGGAGAAGAUGAAAAAGAGGAGGAAGAAAAAAGUAGUGCUGAAGAAGUAGAAGAGAGUAGUGAAGAGGAAAACAGUGAAAUUGAGGAAGAAGAGGAGGCGGAGGAACAAAGUGAGGAAAAGGAGGAAGAGACAGAGGAUGAGGAGGAGGAAGAAGAAAAAGAAGAGGAUGAACAAAGUGAGGAGAAGGAGGAAGAGACAGAGGAUGAAGAGGAGGCAGAAGAAAAAGAAGAGGAAGAAAGUGAGGAAAAGGAGGAAGAGACAGAGGAUGAGGAGGAGGAAGAAGAAGGAGAAGAGGAGGAAGAAAGUGAGGAAAAGGAGGCUGAAGCGGAAGAUGAGGAGGACCAGAGUGAGGAAGAAGAAGACGAGGAAGAGAAGGAAGAUGAAGAAGAAGAAGAGGAGAAGGUUGUCAAAAAGAAAAGGUCUGCUGAAGUGAAAAGACAAAGUGCUAAAUCAGCAACUAGAAGCAAACUAAGGUUAGGGGUCAAAGGUCAGGCGGCAGAACGUCACUGUGCGCCUUCAAACAUCAAACCGAUUUGAGGCUAAACAAUAACACAUGAGAGGAAAUCCAAUUUGUAAUCACCAGAGCAUGCGCCAUAGUGAGGGGUUUAAGUUCGGGCCUGUGGUUUAUUUGGAGCAACACCAGGACGAGUGCAGGUGUCCAUGAGUUGUGGUUGCAUUAUUUCUGCAUCUACAUAGUGCUAUAAAGGAGGGGUAAUUUCAAAUGCAGCAUUUCUACCAGUAAACAUCAGCAAACACAAACUGUUUGUGUCUACAUUUUGUCACAGUGUGUUGUUAGCCAAAGGUCCAGACACUGUAUUUCACAGGGAGAGAAAAGAAAGAGCUAACUUCACUAAAUGAUGGAAAUAGAUAAGGAAGACAGGAGGUUAUAUUUAUAAGUACGGACUGCUCAGUGGUAUUUGAUAAUUUUUUUUCAUAUUGUGAAGCAUGCUGCAAAGCAAACUAAGCUAGAUUAUCUGUGUUAGUUAAAGGUUGCAUUAAAAUAAUCUAGUGCAGGAUAAGCUGGUUAGCGUUCAGUAAGGUGAUGUUAUGAAUUUGAAGUUAAGUUGAUGAAGUUUAGAUUCAUUCACUGAAUUCCACCUCUAUAUUGUUUAGUAUAGAGACAGCAUAAACAGUGCUGACAGCAGAGAACAGCAGGGCAACUCAUAAAAUAUCUUCUUACAUUUGUUGAAUUCAGUUCUCCACAGAGAGCAGUAAACCUCAGAGCAGUAGCCCAGAUCAGUUGAUCACAGCCUGUACACUCAGAAAAUAUACUGGAGCCCACAAUAGAAAUUGUGAUUCUUUUCCCCACACUGAGCCAAUUAGGGCUGCUCGAUUAUGGCAAAAAUGAUAAUCACGAUUAUUUUCACUGAAAUUAAGAUCUCGAUUAUUUGACGAUAUUUAUUUAACAAUAACAAUGUAUUGAAUAAUGACUUUAAAGAUUGUCAAAAAAUAAUAUAAAAUAGUGUGCAAAUACUGAUAACAGUGCAAAUGUUUGCAAUAUAAAAAAUAAAUGAAAAAUGAGUUCUGACUCCGCGAACCCAUAAUGUUUCCACACCACUGAAGUUUUUUUUACCUCUCUUUUCAACCAACGGCAGUCACUCUCCUCUCCAAAUAACUUCUGCUUAGCUGUCCGAGCUUCCCUCGGGUCCUCUUAAUCAGCGGUCCCCAACCCCCGGGCCUCGGACCGGUACCGGUCCGUGAGUCGUUUGGUAUGAGAGAGUUGAGGCUCAGGUGUGAAAUGUAUAGUUUUCAGGGUUUUUAUCGGUUUUCAGCGUUAUUUUGUUAUUGUUUUUAUCGUUUACUCGGUUUUCCUUGGUCUUUUCACAUGUGUUAUGAAUAAAUCUUCUUUUUUUCGGUACCGGUACUAGUUUUAUUUUGUUGUAUUUAUCCGUGACACCUUAAAGGCCGGUCUGUGAAAAUAUUGCUGGGCAUAAACCGGCCCGUGGCGCAAAAAAGGUUGGGGACCGCUGCUCUUAAUUGUUGUGACACGUGUUCGAAAUGCAGAGACGUGCGCUCGAUUUGCCACACGGAGCAGCGCGAGAGUAAAGCACGAGGGAGGGGCUAAUAAUCGGCUCAGUCAUUUUUAAUGAUCGUUGAAAGCCCAGAUCGUAAUCGUGAUUAAAAUUCGAUUAAUUGAGCAGCCCUAGAGCCAAUUCAACCUAUUUUAGGGUUUCACUACCUACUGAAUCCCACUUUCACCCCUGAGUGUACUCAUUUUCUGCUUAGAGGCAAAGUCAUUUUGUACAAUGGAAGCAAAAGAAAAUAGAGCUAUUUUUGUUUCCUUCUUUUUCUCUGCUUAUUUUCUCAUUUUCAAUUAAGAUUUAAACUAAAGUUUGCAUUCUCAUUUAUUAAUAUUUUAUUAUUACAUUAAUACAGCACAAGCUUCAGUUAGCUUUGCACAAAAAUCGCUAGUAGAAACGUCCUUCAAAGAGGUACUUUUUACUUUCUUACUUUGAAUACAUUCAUAGCCAGUACUUUUUCACUUUUACUUCAGUAAAGAAGUUAAAUCAGUACUUAAGUACAGAAUGUUUGUCCUUUUUCCACCUCUGGAAUACACAAGCUUCUUUGUGUUUAUCUGAAUUUUAUGUUUUCAUUCUGAAACAGCUGGAACAUUUGCAUGUACUGUGCCUUUCCCUCUUACAUGUUAACCACACCAUCUUUUUGAUUUCAUAUAUUAUGAAUGUGUUUCUUUAUAGCUUUCUGAACCCUUUCUCUCAUAACGUUGUGUUGUUUUGGGCUGCUUUUGUAUUUCCAUCCAGCCUUUUGCUUUUGGUUUACAGCAAUGCUUACUCAUGUUUGUCUUAAGUAUUGAUUUAAAUGCUUUUUGGUUUACUUAUAUUUCCUUGGAAGCCUUUUCUUUUUGCUUCUGCUUCUGCUCAGUUAUGCAUGGCUCUUGCAACCAGAACUCUCUGAAUUUCCAGUAUUAUGACUAAUAGAGUACCCAAAUAUUCUUCAAACCUUCAGCCUUAAUCUUUGUCUUGCUCAAAUUUAAAUAUUUUAUCUGGAAUUAUUUAUGUUGCUAUUUCUAUUAAUUUGUAUUUGUAAUAAAUAUUUGUGUUGCAUUACAAUGUGUUUUUUUUUUAAUGUAUUAUGACAUAGGACAUUUGUUAAAGUAGGUCUUAAUGAUACUUAAUAGUCACAAUUGUUUGUGUACAUUCACUACUAAACAAGAUUGUAUUAGUUAUUUAGACCAGGCUGACAUCUGCUUCUGCUUCC